rnacentral:rRNA from 1 species
AUUGAACGCUGGCGGCAUGCCUUACACAUGCAAGUCGAACGGCAGCGGGGGAGAAGCUUGCUUUUCCUGCCGGCGAGUGGCGAACGGGUGAGUAAUAUAUCGGAACGUGCCCAGUCGUGGGGGAUAACGCAGCGAAAGCUGUGCUAAUACCGCAUACGAUCUAAGGAUGAAAGAGGGGGAUCGCAAGACCUCGCGCGAUUGGAACGGCCGAUAUCGGAUUAGCUAGUUGGUGGGGUAAAGGCCCACCAAGGCGACGAACUGUAGCUGGUCUGAGGGGACGACCAGCCACACUGGAACUGAGACACGGUCCAGACUCCUACGGGAGGCAGCAGUGGGGAAUUUUGGACAAUGGGCGCAAGCCUGAUCCAGCAAUGCCGCGUGCAGGAUGAAGGCCUUCGGGUUGUAAACUGCUUUUGUACGGAACGAAACGGCCCUUUCUAAUACAGGGGGCUAAUGACGGUACCGUAAGAAUAAGCACCGGCUAACUACGUGCCAGCAGCCGCCGCCG